GAGGAGGGUAUGAAGUCUUUACCCAGCAGGCCUGCCACACUGCAGAAGCUAGAAAUAUCUGUUGAAUGAACUUGUGAAUGAAGCUUCCCUCAAUCAGGUGAAUAAUUUCACUGGAUGAACACUGAUCUUCAGGGCUACUGCUUAUUAUCUGAGUACUCCAAUUUUAAAACUGAGCUCAGUAGUCUACAUUUUCAAUGGACAAAUGCACUGGAACCAGGUGUGCCUAAAACAAACAAAAACUCCUUCUAAAUGCAUUUCUUGGAUUUAGGCCACCGUCACAAAAAUCACUACUCUUCUGUGUGACUCCCCUGGCUGCUGUUAAAGCUUUGUUUUCAAAUAUAAAAGCAGAUUUGA